rnacentral:rRNA from 1 species
AGGGUGUAAACGCUGCAGACUUGGUGUUGGAAAUCCUUCGAGGGUAUUCAGUGCCGGAGAGAAGUUGUUAAGUCUGCUACUUGGGGAGUACGUCCGCAAGGAUGAAACUUAAAGGAAUUGGCGGGGGAGCACCGCAACGGGAGGAGCGUGCGGUUUAAUUGGAUUCAACACCGGAAAACUCACCAGGGGAGACUGUUACAUGAAAGCCGAGAUGAAGACUCUGCUAGAUUUUCAGAGAGGUGGUGCAUGGCGUCAGUGACU